GGGGAAUUUUGGACAAUGGGGGCAACCCUGAUCCAGCCAUGCCGCGUGAGUGAAGAAGGCCUUCGGGUUGUAAAGCUCUUUCGGACGGAAAGAAAACGUGUGGGCUAAUAUCCUGCGCGGAUGACGGUACCUUGACAAGAAGCACCGGCUAACUACGUGCCAGCAGCCGCGGUAAUACGUAGGGUGCGAGCGUUAAUCGGAAUUACUGGGCGUAAAGCGUGCGCAGGCGGUUGAGUAAGACAGGCGUGAAAUCCCCGGGCUUAACCUGGGAACUGCGCUUGUGACUGGUCGGCUAGAGUACGGCAGAGGGGGGUGGAAUUCCACGUGUAGCAGUGAAAUGCGUAGAGAUGUGGAGGAACACCGAUGGCGAAGGCAGCCCCCUGGGCCGAUACUGACGCUCAUGCACGAAAGCGUGGGUAGCAAACA
rnacentral:rRNA from 1 species